GACGAACGCUGGCGGCGUGCUUAACACAUGCAAGUCGAACGGAAAGGCCCUGCUUGCAGGGUACUCGAGUGGCGAACGGGUGAGUAACACGUGGGUGAUCUGCCCUGCACUUCGGGAUAAGCCUGGGAAACUGGGUCUAAUACCGGAUAGGAGCCAUUUUUAGUGUGAUGGUUGGAAAGUUUUUUCGGUGUAGGAUGAGCUCGCGGCCUAUCAGCUUGUUGGUGGGGUAAUGGCCUACCAAGGCGGCGACGGGUAGCCGGCCUGAGAGGGUGGACGGCCACAUUGGGACUGAGAUACGGCCCAGACUCCUACGGGAGGCAGCAGUGGGGAAUAUUGCACAAUGGGCGAAAGCCUGAUGCAGCGACGCCGCGUGGGGGAUGACGGCCUUCGGGUUGUAAACUCCUUUCGCUAGGGACGAAGCUUUUUGUGACGGUACCUAGAUAAGAAGCACCGGCUAACUACGUG
rnacentral:rRNA from 1 species